UACGGAGGGUGCGAGCGUUGUCCGGAAUCACUGGGCGUAAAGGGCGCGUAGGCGGCGCGAGCAGUCGAUCGUGAAAGUCCGGAGCUCAACUCCGGAUCGGCGGUCGAUACUCUCGUGCUUGAGCACUGUAGAGGCAGAUGGAAUUCCGGGUGUAGCGGUGGAAUGCGUAGAGAUCCGGAAGAACACCGGUGGCGAAGGCGGUCUGCUGGGCGAGUUGCUGACG
rnacentral:rRNA from 1 species